rnacentral:sRNA from 1 species
UAAUAUGCAGCCUUUCCUUACGCCCUUC